GACGAACGCUGGCGGCGUGCUUAACACAUGCAAGUCGAACGGAAAGGCCCUGCUUUUGUGGGGUGCUCGAGUGGUGAACGGGUGAGUAACACGUGAGUAACCUGCCCUUGACUUUGGGAUAACUUCAGGAAACUGGGGCUAAUACCGGAUAGGAGCUCCUGCUGCAUGGUGGGGGUUGGAAAGUUUCGGCGGUUGGGGAUGGACUCGCGGCUUAUCAGCUUGUUGGUGGGGUAGUGGCUUACCAAGGCUUUGACGGGUAGCCGGCCUGAGAGGGUGACCGGCCACAUUGGGACUGAGAUACGGCACAGACUCCUACGGGAGGCAGCAGUGGGGAACAUUGCACAAUGGGCGGAAGCCUGAUGCAGCAACGCCGCGUGCGGGAUGACGGCCUUCGGGUUGUAAACCGCUUUCGCCUGUGACGAAGCGUGAGUGACGGUAAUGGGUAAAGAAGCACCGGCUAACUACGUG
rnacentral:rRNA from 1 species